AUCAGCCUUGUGGUGUCCUAUUGGUCUAAGUAGUGUGUGAACAAAUCCCAGAACCAGGAAUCUCUUUCUUUCUACACUCAAAGAAGAGACUGCUGUUCAUUCCUGACUGGAAGUCUUUUUAGGAAAUGAGGGGAAGCGACUCCUCCCUGAAACCUGUCCAGAUGCAUAUACUUCUCAUUGCUCACUCUCUUUUCUUGAGGGUUCCUAAACACUGAAGUUACUAUGUACUCUCCAGAGCCAGAAUGUCCCAAGCGUUCCAGUGUCUCUCAGAACUGUGGCUUCUGUAUGUCCAUGUUGUCAUUGUCUCACUCCUCACUCUUCUCACAUUUAAUGAUCUACCAAUAUGUUCUCUAGUCCGCCCUCCAGAUCUAGACUAGCAAUCCCUCUGGAAAAGUCUCUGCUCUUGUCUCCCAUGCACACUUACCAAGGUUAAUGUCAGCUCCGGAUCUGUGGGUAUCUCUGGAGUCCAGUUUAAACAUCUACACCAGUAAAAUCCUGCAUGAGAGAUCCAGGACAAAAACAAGGUAUGUUGAGUUGAGCACAAUCAUCCUGUAGCUAUUUGGUGAUGCCUAAGCCUUCCACUGGAAUGUUCAUUGAUGUGCAAGCUUAGAAAUAGAUUCUCCUAAAGACAUGGGUCACCCCAAUGGAACCUGAACUCUGAGGCAUACUGAGGAGGUGGACAGGGUGAAUGGGAGCAUCUGCGGGUCACUCCAGUGUGAAGUAACAGUGGGACAAUGAUGACAAACCUGUUUCCUACAAUGACAGAGGACAGUCUUAGAGACCUCAAGGAGACCACAGUUCGAUGUAGCCAUUGUCUUAGUGCCACUGCAGAGACUUGAUUUGAAAAACAAAUCACAGAAGUAUGGAAUGGCACAUGCCAAGAUGGCCACAUAUCCACUCUAGAAUACUGAUCUCAUCAGUGUCAAGAUUUCAGCAGCCACCAGCAAAGGGGAAAGAAUGAGACCACUGUCAUUGGUCAGCUGUAUGGAAGUUCCCACAUUAUAACAACUCAGUUACAGCCACAAAAUAAAGUGAUGGAAACGAUGUAA